CCUACGGGAGGCAGCAGUGAGGAAUAUUGGUCAAUGGGCGCGAGCCUGAACCAGCCAAGUAGCGUGAAGGAUGACUGCCCUACGGGUUGUAAACUUCUUUUAUAAGGGAAUAAAGUGCGGUACGUGUACCUUUUUGUAUGUACUUUAUGAAUAAGGAUCGGCUAACUCCGUGCCAGCAGCCGCGGUAAUACGGAGGAUCCGAGCGUUAUCCGGAUUUAUUGGGUUUAAAGGGAGCGUAGAUGGGUUGUUAAGUCAGUUGUGAAAGUUUGCGGCUCAACCGUAAAAUUGCAAUUGAUACUGGCAGGCUUGAGUACAGUAGAGGUAGGCGGAAUUCGUGGUGUAGCGGUGAAAUGCUUAGAUAUCACGAAGAACUCCGAUUGCGAAGGCAGCCUGCUAAACUGCAACUGACGUUGAUGCUCGAAAGUGUGGGUAUCAAACAGGAUUAGAUACCCUGGUAGUC
rnacentral:rRNA from 1 species